rnacentral:miRNA from 1 species
AGGGAAAAGCAUAGGAAUGAGU